rnacentral:rRNA from 1 species
UACAGAGGUCUCAAGCGUUGUUCGGAUUUAUUGGGCGUAAAGGGUGCGCAGGCGGUGUGGUAAGUUUGGUGUGAAAUCCUGGGGCUCGACCCCAGAAUUGUACUGAAUACUGCCAUGCUAGAGGACUGGAGAGGAGAUUGGAAUUCACGGUGUAGCAGUGAAAUGCGUAGAUAUCGUGAGGAAGACCAGUGGCGAAGGCGAAUCUCUGGACAGUUCCUGACGCUCAUGCACGAAGGCCAGGGGAGCAAACGGG